AUUGAACGCUGGCGGCAUGCCUUACACAUGCAAGUCGAACGGUAACGCGGGGCAACCUGGCGACGAGUGGCGAACGGGUGAGUAAUGCAUCGGAACGUGCCCAGUAGUGGGGGGAUAGCCCCGGCGAAAGCCGGAUUAAUACCGCAUACGACCUACGGGUGAAAGCGGGGGAUCGCAAGACCUCGCGCUAUUGGAGCGGCCGAUGUCGGAUUAGCUAGUUGGUGGGGUAAAGGCCUACCAAGGCUACGAUCCGUAGCUGGUCUGAGAGGACGACCAGCCACACUGGGACUGAGACACGGCCCCAGACUCCUACGGGAGGCAGCAGUGGGGAAUUUUGGACAAUGGGCGCAAGCCUGAUCCAGCCAUGCCGCGUGCGGGAAGAAGGCCUCGGGUUGUAAACCGCUUUUGUCAGGGAAGAAACGGUCUGAGUUAAUACCUCGGACUAAUGACGGUACCUGAAGAAUAAGCACCGGCUAACUACGUGCCAGCAGCCGCGGUAAUACGUAGGGGUGCAAGCGUUAAUCGGAAUUACUGGGCGUAAAGCGUGCGCAGGCGGCUUUGCAAGACAGAUGNGAAAUCCCCCGGGGCUCGACCUGGGAACUGCAUUUGUGACUGCAUCGCUCGAGUGCGGCAGAGGGGGAUGGAAUUCCGCGUGUAGCAGUGAAAUGCGUAGAU
rnacentral:rRNA from 1 species